rnacentral:rRNA from 1 species
GAUGAACGCUAGCUACAGGCUUAACACAUGCAAGUCGAGGGGCAGCACUAGGUAGCAAUAUUGAGGUGGCGACCGGCGCACGGGUGCGUAACGCGUAUCCAACCUUCCCGACACUCUUGGAUAGCCUUCCGAAAGGGAGAUUAAUACAAGAUGGUGUUUCAAUUCCGCAUGUUAUUGAAACUAAAGAUUUAUCGGUAUCGGAUGGGGAUGCGUGACAUUAGAUAGUAGGCGGGGUAACGGCCCACCUAGUCUACGAUGUCUAGGGGUUCUGAGAGGAAGGUCCCCCACACUGGAACUGAGACACGGUCCAGAUUCCUACGGGAGGCAGCAGUGAGGAAUAUUGGUCAAUGGUCGGAAGACUGAACCAGCCAAGUAGCGUGAAGGAUGAAGGUUCUAUGGAUUGUAAACUUCUUUUAUACGGGAAUAAAACACCUUACGUGUAGGGUCUUGUAUGUACCGUAUGAAUAAGCAUCGGCUAACUCCGUGCCAGCCGCCGCCGUAACAC